rnacentral:rRNA from 1 species
GAUGAACGCUGGCGGCGUGCUUAACACAUGCAAGUCGAACGGGAAAUACUUCAUUGAGACUUCGGUGGAUUUGAUUUAUUUCUAGUGGCGGACGGGUGAGUAACGCGUGGGUAACCUGCCUUAUACAGGGGGAUAACAGUCAGAAAUGACUGCUAAUACCGCAUAAGCGCACAGGACCGCAUGGUCCGGUGUGAAAAACUCCGGUGGUAUAAGAUGGACCCGCGUUGGAUUAGCUUGUUGGUGGGGUAACGGCCCACCAAGGCGACGAUCCAUAGCGGGCCUAAGAGGGUGAACGGCCACAUUGGGACUGAGACGCGGCCCAGACUCGUACGGGAGGCAGCAGUGGGGAAUAUUGCACAAUGGGGGAAACCCUGAUGCAGCGACGCCGCGUGAAGGAAGAAGUAUCUCGGUAUGUAAACUUCUAUCAGCAGGGAAGAUAGUGACGGUACCUGACUAGGAAGCCCCGGCUAACUACGUGCAAGCAGCCGCCGUAA